rnacentral:rRNA from 1 species
AGAUGGCGACCGGCGCACGGGUGAGUAACACGUAUCCAACCUGCCGAUAACUCGGGGAUAGCCUUUCGAAAGAAAGAUUAAUACCCGAUAGCAUAAUGAUUCCGCAUGGUUUCAUUAUUAAAGGAUUCCGGUAAAGGAUGGGGAUGCGUUCCAUUAGGUUGUUGGUGAGGUAACGGCUCACCAAGCCUUCGAUGGAUAGGGGUUCUGAGAGGAAGGUCCCCCACAUUGGAACUGAGACACGGUCCAA